CAGUAGCCGCGGGAAUACAGAGGGUGCAAGCGUUAAUCGGAAUUACUGGGCGUAAAGCGCGCGUAGGUGGUUUGUUAAGUUGGAUGUGAAAGCCCCGGGCUCAACCUGGGAACUGCAUCCAAAACUGGCAAGCUAGAGUACGGUAGAGGGUGGUGGAAUUUCCUGUGUAGCGGUGAAAUGCGUAGAUAUAGGAAGGAACACCAGUGGCGAAGGCGACCACCUGGACUGAUACUGACACUGAGGUGCGAAAGCGUGGGGAGCAAACAGGAUUAGAUACCCGGGUAGUCCCUGUCUCUUAUAA
rnacentral:rRNA from 1 species